UUAUUACAAAAACUAUAAUUUAAAAAGAUUUUAUUAAGUGUUUCAAGAAUAGUUAGUUAUUUUUUGAUGAAAAAUAAUGGCAAUUCAAUUACUGCUUAGCAAAAUGAUAUUGAUCUUCUAAGAAAAUACUUUCCAGGAUUUACUUCUUAAAAUUUAUGUUCUAUUCAAACAUUUUCAAUGAUUAUUACAUAAUUAAUAUUAACCUCAGCAAGAUAAGCAAAUGUGAAACCAUUAAACUAGCUACACCUCAGUGUAAAUGUGAAAAGGUUCCCUCCAGAUAUUAAAAGAACUCAUUGGUUGUAUACAAGGAGGACUUACAACUUUUUUUAAUUUACAAAACCUUUAGACGCGUGGAGGAAAGACUUGGAAUUACUCAGCAGUCAGCCGAAGGUGAGAGAAGAGAAGACAUGGAACUGCGUGGAAAGGCGUUUCAUUCAUGGUCAUUUUGGAUGGAUCUCUCCUACGGAGAAAUCAGAUAUAUGGAUCCUUCCUAGGAAUAUCCAAAUCACUCGCCUUCUGAUAUUCUCUUCAAAUGUCAGUGUGUUCAAGGGAUAUCGAAUCUUAAGGCGAGAUACAGGAUACUUUGAGCAAGAACUUGAAUCGGUUAAUCUCAUCUUCUUAAUGGAAGGAUCGAUCAUUGUGCAGUUUCCUCUUCAUAUUAAGGUCUGUGAUAGUGACAUCUGAUCUCGUGAAUCAUUGUAUUUAUACAUAAAUUCCUCCAGAUCUUCUACGGAAUCAUCGUAUAAGAACUAAGAAGUUCCAUUAAACGACAGAAUAAUCGACUGAAAGACCGAGUGACGAACAGAGAGAGUUCUAAUCCUUCAUGCACUGCUCCUUCUUUGAAUUUCUUGAAAGGGAACUUUGCAUAGUCUCCUAUUGGACUUCGUGAUACACGGUCUAUACUGAUAAUUAUAAAACACUUCAAGCGCACAGCUUAUUUCUUUAUUACUUGUGAGUCUCUUGUCAUUGUAAAAUAAGUUUAUUAUUCUACACUCGUAAAGAUAAAGUGUUUCUCCUUUCUGAUAUUUUGGUCUUCAAAGCAUUUUCUUUUCUGCUUUUACAUAUAAAUAGUUAUUUAGAACUCUUAAGUGAUUAUGUGCUUAGCAAAAUAUAUAUCAGGCCUAUUAACUUCUUUAGACUUCUGUUGGAAAAUCUACAUGCCAUUGGAAUUCCCAAACUUAUUGA
rnacentral:lncRNA from 1 species